rnacentral:rRNA from 1 species
UACGUAGGGUGCAAGCGUUGUCCGGAAUUAUUGGGCGUAAAGAGCUCGUAGGCGGUUCGUCGCGUCGGCUGUGAAAACCUGAGGCUCAACCUCAGGCCUGCAGUCGAUACGGGCGAGCUAGAGUUCGGCAGGGGAGACUGGAAUUCCUGGUGUAGCGGUGGAAUGCGCAGAUAUCAGGAGGAACACCGGUGGCGAAGGCGGGGUCUCUGGGGCCGAUACUGACACUGAGAAGCGAAAGCGUGGGGGAGCGAACAGG